rnacentral:piRNA from 1 species
UAAUGUUGAUCCACCUAUAGGGUUG